rnacentral:rRNA from 1 species
AUGGCUGCGGACGGCGAGAGGUGGGUGGGCCUGGCGGUGGACUUCUCGGAGGGGAGCCGCGCGGCGCUGCAGUGGGCGGCGGACAACCUGCUCCGCGCCGGCGACAACCUGCUCCUCCUGCACGUCCUCAAGGACCCCGACUACGAGCAGGGCGAGACCCUCCUCUGGGAGGCCUCCGGCUCCCCUUUGAUCCCCCUCUCGGAGUUCUCUCACCCUUCAACUGCAAAGAAAUAUGGGGUGAAGCCUGAUGCUGAAACACUUGACAUGCUCAACACCAUAGCUAAGCAGAAGGAGGUUGCUGUGGUUUCCAAAGUCCUGUUUGGAGAUCCCCGCGAGAAGCUGUGCCAAGCCAUCCAUGACAUGCCCAUCAGCUGCCUGGUCAUUGGGAGCAGGGGCCUUGGCAAGCUCAAGAGGUUGCGACCACCGACCAAAUUGACCUCCAAACUCUUCUUCAGCCACAUUGUGUGUUUGUUUCAUCAUAAUAGAGUGCUGAUCUUUUGCAUCUCUGAACUGCAGGGUGCUCUUGGGCAGCGUCAGCGAUUACGUCGUGAACAACGCCGCCUGCCCGGUCACCGUUGUCAAGCCAGCGAGUAA